rnacentral:rRNA from 1 species
AUGAACGCUAGCGGCAGGCUUAACACAUGCAAGUCGAGGGGUAUAGGUUUUCGGACCUAGAGACCGGCGCACGGGUGCGUAACGCGUAUGCAAUCUACCUUUCACAGAGGGAUAGCCCAGAGAAAUUUGGAUUAAUACCUCAUAGUAUUACGAGAUGGCAUCAUUUUGUAAUUAAAGUCACAACGGUGAAAGAUGAGCAUGCGUCCCAUUAGCUUGUUGGUAAGGUAACGGCUUACCAAGGCUACUAUGGGUAGGGGUCCUGAGAGGGAGAUCCCCCACACUGGUACUGAGACACGGACCAGACUCCUACGGGAGGCAGCAGUGAGGAAUAUUGGACAAUGGGCGCAAGCCUGAUCCAGCCAUGCCGCGUGCAGGAUGACGGUCCUAUGGAUUGUAAACUGCUUUUGCACAGGAAGAAACAACUCUACGUGUAGAGUCUUGACGGUACUGUGAGAAUAAGGAUCGGCUAACUCCGU